GCUUGCUGCAGUGUGCUAGUGUAUAACUUAAAAUGUGUAGUUUGUAGUUUGUGCAAGUGAAAAAUAUGUGUUAUUGAAUCUUGACUCAACAAAUUGAAUUUCAUCGUGCCAGUAAUAUCGAAGAUAUAGGAAUUUAUCGUGAAGCCGUGUAAAAAUGGCGUCCAAAAAAAUGCGAAUGGAAGGCAGUCUUUCGAAAAAAACGCCAAAAGUAUUUGGAGCAGUUGGAACGCGAAUGGAGGCACGGCGUCUAACUUGGGAAGCCAUCGACUUUGUAGCCAUCGGCUAAACCAUGCGUGUAGUCCCAAUUUAGCGUACCAGUUGACGCAGAACGGAACGAUAAGCUUCUUAGCGAAGCACCACAUCUACCAAGGGAUGCAGCUAACGAUUGAUUACAGAUUGAUCGAAGAUGACAACUAUUGACACGUCUGUAUGUUGACAUAAGAGCGAUAAUAAGUGCGAGAUAAUGAUAAAGGCAGGUGCGCUUAUCGAUUAAACCGAUAAGCUGAUCGACGGUGCCAUAAAACACCGUAAAGAGCUAGAGAGAGAGAGAGAGAGAGUUAAGCUUGCUGCUUGCUGCAGUGUGCUAGUGUAUAACUUAAAAUGUGUAGUUUGUAGUUUGUGCAAGUGAAAAAUAUGUGUUUUUGAAUCUUGACUCAACAAAUUGAAUUUCAUCGUGCCAGUAAUAUCGAAGAUAUAGGAAUUUAUCGUGAAGCCGUGUAAAAAUGGCGUCAAAAAAAAAUGCGAAUGGAAGGCAGUCUUUCGAAAAAAAACGCCAAUAGUAUUUGGAGCAGUUGGAACGCGAAUGGAGGCACGGCGUCUAACUUGGGAAGCCAUCGACUUUGUAGCCAUCGGCUAAACCAUGCGUGUAGUCCCAAUUUAGCGUACCAGUUGACGCAGAACGGAACGAUAAGCUUCUUAGCGAAGCACCACAUCUACCAAGGGAUGCAGCUAACGAUUGAUUACAGAUUGAUCGAAGAUGACAACUGUUGACACGUCUGUAUGUUGACAUAAGAGCGAUAAUAAGUGCGAGAUAAUGAUAAAGGCAGGUGCGCUUAUCGAUUAAACCGAUAAGCUGAUCGACGGUGCCAUAAAACACCGUAAAGAGCUAGAGAGAGAG